UACGUAGGGAGCAAGCGUUGUCCGGAAUCAUUGGGCGUAAAGCGCGCGUAGGUGGCUUCGUAAGUCCGUUGUGAAAGUCAAAGGCUCAACCUUUGAAAGCCGAUGGAUACUGUGAAGCUAGAGUACGGAAGAGGCGAGUGGAAUUCCUGGUGUAGCGGUGGAAUGCGCAGAUAUCAGGAGGAACACCAAUAGCGAAGGCAGCUCGCUGGGACGGUACUGA
rnacentral:rRNA from 1 species